rnacentral:rRNA from 1 species
CAAGUCGAACGAGAAAGCCCCUUCGGGGGUGAGUAGAGUGGCGAACGGGUGAGUAACGCGUGAGAAUUUUCCUUUCAGUGAAGAAUACCCCCGAGAAAUCGGGGCUAAUACUGCAUAAUUCCCUUCGGGGACAAAGAUGGCCUCUUUGCUGUCGCUGAAAGAUAAGCUUGCGUACUAUUAGCUAGUUGGUAGGGUAAAGGCCUACCAAGGCGAUGAUGGUUAGCCGACCUGAGAGGGUGAUCGGCCACAUUGGGACUGAGAUACGGCCCAGACUCCUACGGGAGGCAGCAGUGGGGAAUAUUGCACAAUGGACGAAAGUCUGAUGCAGCGACGCCGCGUGGAGGAUGAAGGUCUUCGGAUUGUAAACUCCUGUUAAGAGGGAAAAAAGAAUCGUGGGUAAUAUCCACGGAAGAUGAUGGUACCUCUAGAGAAAGCUCCGGCUAACUUCGUGCCAGCAGCCGCGGUAAUACGAAGGGAGCAAGCGUUAUUCGGAAUUACUGGGCGUAAAGGGCGCGUANGCGGUCUGCUAAGUCAGUUGUUAAAUCCCAUGGCUUACCCAUGGAAAUGCGAUUGAUACUGGCGGACUAGAGGGNCAGAGAGAAGGGUGGAAUUCUCGGAGUAGCGGUAGAAUGCGUAGAUCUCGAGAGGAACACCGAUGGCGAAGGCAGCUCUUUGGCUUGACCCUGACGCUGAGGCGCGAAAGCGUGGGGAG